AGCAGUAGCCGCGGUAAUACGAAGGGGGCUAGCGUUGUUCGGAAUUACUGGGCGUAAAGCGCACGUAGGCGGACAUUUAAGUCAGGGGUGAAAUCCCGGGGCUCAACCCCGGAACUGCCUUUGAUACUGGGUGUCUAGAGUAUGGAAGAGGUGAGUGGAAUUCCGAGUGUAGAGGUGAAAUUCGUAGAUAUUCGGAGGAACACCAGUGGCGAAGGCGGCUCACUGGUCCAUUACUGACGCUGAGGUGCGAAAGCGUGGGGAGCAAACAGGAUUAGAUACCCCCGGUAGUCCCUGUCUCUUAUA
rnacentral:rRNA from 1 species